UACGGGGGGGGCAAGCGUUGUUCGGAAUUACUGGGCGUAAAGGGCUCGUAGGCGGCCAACUAAGUCAGACGUGAAAUCCCUCGGCUUAACCGGGGAACUGCGUCUGAUACUGGAUGGCUUGAAUCCGGGAGAGGGAUGCGGAAUUCCAGGUGUAGCGGUGAAAUGCGUAGAUAUCUGGAGGAACACCGGUGGCGAAGGCGGCAUCCUGGACCGGCAUUGACGCUGAGGAGCGAAAGCCAGGGGAGCGAAUGGG
rnacentral:rRNA from 1 species